UACGUAGGCGGAAAAAUAAGUCAGUGGUGAAAUCCUGCAGCUCAACUGUAGAACUGCCAUUGAAACUGUUUUUCUUGAGUAUAGUUGAGGUGGGCGGAAUGUGUCAUGUAGCGGUGAAAUGCUUAGAUAUGACACAGAACACCGAUUGCGUAGGCAGCUCACUAAACUAUCACUGACGCUGAGGUACGAAAGCGUGGGGAGCGAACAGGAUUAAUACCCUGGUAGUCC
rnacentral:rRNA from 1 species